CAGCAGCCGCGGUAAUACGGAGGGUGCAAGCGUUAAUCGGAAUUACUGGGCGUAAAGGGCGCGUAGGCGGUUAGGAAGGUGUGAUGUGAAAGCCCCGGGCUCAACCUGGGAAUGGCAAUGGAUACUGGCGAGCUAGAGUGUGUCAGAGGAUGGUGGAAUUCCCGGUGUAGCGGUGAAAUGCGUAGAGAUCGGGAGGAACAUCAGUGGCGAAGGCGGCCAUCUGGGACAACACUGACGCUGAGGCACGAAAGCGUGGGGAGCAAACAGGAUUAGAUACCCCGGUAGUCCCUGUCUCUUAUAC
rnacentral:rRNA from 1 species